GGACCAUCAUGUCGGUCGUGCCUCGGUACGUACUGGUAUUGUUGGUUUCUCCCUUCUGACGAACCAUGAUGCCAUUAAUUUGGUGUUUUGGGGAAUCAGGACUGUUACUUUGAAAAAAUUAGAGUGUUUAAAGCAGGCUCACGCUUGAAUACAUUAGCAUGGAAUAAUGAAAUAGGACGUUCGAUCCUAUUUUGUUGGUUUCUAGGACCGCUGUA
rnacentral:rRNA from 1 species